rnacentral:tRNA from 2 species
AGCUCUUUAGCUCAGAGGCAGAGCAGACGACUCAUAAUCGUUUGGUCGUUGGUUCGAAUCCAACAAGAGCUA